rnacentral:rRNA from 1 species
UACGUAGGUGGCAAGCGUUGUCCGGAUUUAUUGGGUUUAAAGGGUGCGUAGGCGGCUUUGUAAGUCAGUGGUGAAAUAUGGCAGCUCAACUGUCAAGGUGCCACUGAUACUGCGAGGCUUGAGUACAGAUGAGGUAGGCGGAAUUGACGGUGUAGCGGUGAAAUGCUUAGAUAUCGUCAAGAACACCUAUAGCGAAGGCAGCUUACUAGGCUGUAACUGACGCUGAGGCACGAAAGUGUGGGGAUCAAACAGG